GCUGCAACUCGCCUACAUGAAGUCGGAAUUGCUAGUAAUCGCGGAUCAGCAUGCCGCGGUGAAUACGUUCCCGGGCCUUGUACGCACCGCCCGUCACACCAUGAGAGCCGGUAACACCCGAAGUCAGUAGCCUAACCGCAAGGGGGCGCUGCCGAAGGUGGGAUUGGUAAUUGGGUGAAGUCGUAACAAGGUAUC
rnacentral:rRNA from 1 species